GACGAACGCUGGCGGCGUGCUUAACACAUGCAAGUCGAACGGAAAGGCCCUGCUUUUGUGGGGUGCUCGAGUGGCGAACGGGUGAGUAACACGUGAGUAACCUGCCCUUGACUUUGGGAUAACUUCAGGAAACUGGGGCUAAUACCGGAUAGGAGCUCCUGCUGCAUGGUGGGGGUUGGAAAGUUUCGGCGGUUGGGGAUGGACUGGCGGCUUAUCAGCUUGUUGGUGGGGUAGUGGCUUACCAAGGCUUUGACGGAUAGCCGGCCUGAGAGGGUGACCGGCCACAUGGGGACUGAGAUACGGCCCAGACUCCUACGGUAGGCAGCAGGGGGGAAUAUUGCACAAUGGGCGGAAGCCGGAUGCAGCAACGCCGCGGUCGGGAUGACGGCCUUCGGGUUGUAAACCGCUUUCGCCUGUGACGAAGCGUGAGUGACGGUAAUGGGUAAAGAAGCACCGGCUAACUACGUG
rnacentral:rRNA from 1 species